UACGAAGGGUCCAAGCGUUGUUCGGAAUCAUUGGGCGUAAAGGGUGCGUAGGCGGGUCUUUAAGUCAGGGGUGAAAUCCUGGAGCUCAACUCCAGAACUGCCUUUGAUACUGAGGAUCUUGAGUACGGGAGAGGUGAGUGGAACUGCGAGUGUAGAGGUGAAAUUCGUAGAUAUUCGCAAGAACACCAGUGGCGAAGGCGGCUCACUGGCCCGUAACUGACGCUGAGGCACGAAAGCGUGGGGAGCAAACAGG
rnacentral:rRNA from 1 species